AUUAGGGUGUCAGUCUGCUUUAGGGUUACCUCUUCCAGCUCCAUAGUUUUUUUCCCAUCACGGCAAGGGGGGAGGUUUUCACCUUUACCCCAUCACCCAAGAUUGUGUAUUGGAAACAAAGGAUAUUUAAGGGAGUUUCUGUGCAUUGAAGAAAGGAGAGGAUGGAGGUGCAGCCAGGGUGGCUGGCCUAAAUUGGGGGACUGGCUGUAACUUUGGGUACAGGCUAGGGGGUGGUGGUACAGAGGUUACUGAGAAAACUGAGCUCUGAAUGGUGCAUAUUUGAACUCCCAGGAGCAGAAUUGUCUCAAAAGAAGGCUUUGGAACCCAAGGGAAGAGGAAAGGCUAACUGUGUUUGGCAAACCUUUUGGGAAUGCUAGUGGGAAAGGCUGGGAUCGAGAAGGCAGUGUGUGAGGGGAUAAGGGGGAACAACCCUUGCAGUCAGAGCAGUUCUGCUCACAGCUUUAUUUGCUGUUAAAUGAAACCUAACUCAUUACUCUCCCAGCCUUCUCGAAAAGCCUGGGCGGGAGAUAACUGCGGUGGAGAGGGAACUGGCUGUUCUGGCCAUUUUUUUACGAACAGGAGAGAAUAUUCGUUAUUGGGGGAGGAGGCCCAAGGCUGUCAGGGGGAAGGGGGAGAGUUGAUUUUGACUUUGCUCUUUGCCUGUCUGAAGCUGUUUCAGGAGGCCCACUCCAAGGGCACAAGGCUCGAUCAGCUCCGGGAGAGGGCCAGCAGACGUGGGAGGGGCAGGCGAGAACAUGGGCACAUCAGCUUCCUUUUUCUCAGGUUCUCCAAGCUUCCCCAGGUAAGGCAGAACUCAAGCUCUGAUACUUCACAGGGCGAGCCGGUCUGCAAGCUACGUUUUCUCAGAGGGAGAAGAUUGUCAAAUGCCCGAGGAGAUAGAUCUCACAGACCGCACUCGAUUUCCUUAAUUUUAUUGGUCAACAUGGAGUCUCUUAAGAGCCUUAUGUAAAGUGCCUAAAAAUUCCUUUGGAGGAAGGACAACAAAGCCAGGAAGUGAGGACGUUUGGGUUUGCGUACUUCUGAUGAGCAGAGGCAAGGAGGGCAAUUCCUUCGGGCUCUUUUGUAAAAAGGGCAAGGUCUCUAUGGCUCUGGGAGGGUUGGGCUCCUCUGGUUCCGUUAGAUGCAUUUUUUUUUUUGGGGGGGGAACCCAUUUUUGCAGAAAAUAACGGAAGGGGGGAAAAGAGGCCGCAACUGCAGGCGUCCAAGUCACCUAGGACAGUCGUGAUCCAAAGCAGACUUGGAAAUGCGGAAGCGAAUAACGAGCGGGGCUGUCCAGAAAAACAAACCAAACCGUCGCCUUGGACUUGGCAGAGGAUCCAGGCUGGGAGCUCGAGCUAUUGUCCAGUUUCCCCGGUCUCUCUGCAGCUGGGCCACCGCCACCGGUGGACAGUGGGCUAGAGGAAGGCCGGGAAGUGCGUGGAGAGCUGGGACGCCGUUUCAUCCUCUCACUUUAAACUUGGGCUAGCAAUUCCAAUCGGAACUGGCCGGUUGGGUUUGUCUGGCCCGAUCGCCUCGGGCUGCCCUUUUCAGGAUAGGGACUCUCUGGCCGCCGCUAUAUGGUAGGUGGGCUCCGCAGGCGAGCUCCCAAAGGGAAGGAUGUCCUUUAUGCUGCUCGGAAGUCGCCAAUGUCCACACUUUAGUCUGGCUUUUAAAUUAUACACCUGGUUUUGAUUUGGGGUCUUAUCACAAAUGAUUCUCCUAUCCACUUUUGGAAAUAUUUUCUUCUUCUUUUUUUUUUUCCUUCUUCUCUUCUCUUAUUCUCCCUCCUUCCUUCUAUUCUUUCCUUUCUCCCUCACUUCCUUCCUUCCUUCUUUCUUUCCUUUCUUCUUUCCUUCCUUCCUAGACAGGAGGCCAUUCUCUCCCACAAGGGCUGACACUUUCGGCCCCCCCCCCCUUUUUUUUUUUUAAUCUGCUCACUAGCAACUAACAACCGAGGCAAUUUCUCCUCCAGGAUCCGGGCUCAGGAGAAGGCAGGGUUUGUUCGAAAUUUGAAGUCACCCAUUCGGACACAUUUUAGGUGCAUGGAAAUGUCCAUCUUAUGAAAUCUCGACCCAGUGUAAACAUCCGCUUGGGUCUCAGCUUGGCUGCCUUCUUGGAGCUGGGACAUUAAUUUCGUUAAUCCCCCUCCGCAGUCAGCUUCUCCCCACCCCCGGCAUGCAUCCUCUCUCUCUGCGAGCCCAGUCCUGCUCACACGGAUUCGUGCAGCUCCCACUCAGACAUUUGCCUUCCUCAGGCUACUUUCCUGCCCACGUUCCCUUCCUGGGAUCUUCAAGGAAGGAUGGCCACUCAAAAGAUCGGCCUUUCAAAGGCUCCCUACCAAGAGGAACUUGGGCACAAAAGAAUGGGGAGGGAGAGUUACUGAGGCUGGGCAAUUUCCCGCUGGAUUCUAGACCAAUACAGACGGUCAUUACCCUCGGCUACACUUCAGCUUGUCCUUGGAAAGCCGGAUAUAAGUGUUUCCCAGAGCAAGCUUCUUUGCCUCUUCCUUCUCCUCUUUUUCCUCUGAUUCUAAGGACCUUCGGAAGAUUCUGGUCCAACUUGGGACGGGGUAUCAGCUGAAGGUUCUGGGACUCAGCUGGAUCCUUCUCAUUGUCUGCAUUUUCAUGUGUAUGUGUGUGUUUGUGUGUGUAGGUGACUGGGGGUGGCUAAAAGGCGGGGUGCUGAAUCAAGCUUAGGCUUGGAGUGGAGCAGGGAGGGAUUCAAUAAGAUCAUUUCCCUGAUAAUCAAAAAGCUUUUGUUUUGUUUUGUUUUUAAUUCCCUUUUUCUCUAUUUUAUUUUAUUUUAUUUUUUUUGGUCACUGUCUUGGAAAUUAAUUUGGCCAUACUAACUACCACACGAUUAUCCAAACUUUUGACUCCUCUAAACGACUUUGUCCCCUCUUUCCUCUCCCUCAAUCCCUUCAAAGAAAAAAAAAUCUCAAAAAAACAAUCAAACCCAGAAGCAACAAUGGUUCCUACAAAAACAACACGUUCAUUCAUUUCUCUCUGUGUCUUCUCCCACAGGUGCAAGACUCCGAAGGCAACAUGUAGAAUGAGUAGCUUCAUGAUGUUGGUGGCUAAAGCCAUUUGCCAAGAUAUAGUAAAUUGGGGCAGGCCAAUUGGGAGCAGCCUAGUUUUCUGUGGAAGUCGGAUAUGGAUGUAUGGAUGCACUGAAGGAAACCUCUCCCCAGUAUUCCAUCCAAGAGAGACCACACAAGUGGACCCAUAGCUUUUUCUGUCCUAUUUGAAAGUUUAGCUAGGAGCUGCUGUUGUAAUUAGAGAUCAAAAAUUCAAAAAAACAGCCAUGAUCACCACCAGGUGCCCUGAAGAAUUUGUGUCCAUCUCUAUGCAACGGCCUCCUCUCAAUUCCUCUGCUCACAAUCUCAGCAACCAUACUGCCUUUGACCCUUCCUCAUCGCUGCUCAGACAGGGAACACUUUAGCCUUCACUUGGCAUUUUUUCUUUAUCAAACCAUAGUUAAAAAAAAUAACAACAAUAAUACCCACCUUAAUGAUAUUAUUAAUUAUUAUAAAUCUUUCCUGCCAUCAAUAUCCUAUGAAUAAUUAUCAGUUUUUUCCCUAAGAACCCCAAAUCCUCUUUCCUCUCUCUCUGCCUAUAGAACCUCUUUAGCUGACUGGAAGCCAAAGCUGGUUAAUAUUUUCAGGUCCCUCACACUAACUUCGAAGAGGAGCAUUAAAAAAAAAAUCUCUUUGAGAAUUAUUUUUGGUCUUAUUGCUGUCAAAAGUUGGGAGUGGGAGAGGAUAUCAAAUAAGCAAUUCUUCCAAAAAAGGUUAUUUGAGUUCUGACCCCAUUCUCCCUCCAUCUUUGAUUCAAGAAGCUUUGUGGUGAAUGACUAUAUCGAUGGAGAUAUCAUUCAGCCUGAUUUUGUUGGCAUUUAUUUAUCAAGAACAAGGUCAGUUUUCCCUUCACUCUUCUCCUGAAUGCAUCUGGGGCCAACUUUGCCUGGCUUGGUCUGGAGACCCUUCUAAAACUCAAAGGGAGGACUCUCCCUAUCCAUUUGGGAGUACUCCCCAGCAAAGUGAUUGCUCCAGGCCCUGUUCUAGUCUGUCCAGCCCCAUUCUCCAACGAAGAAAGCUAGCCCCUGCCUCUGAGGGCCUAGUGGAAAGCCAGUAGCUGGGUACCAGCUGCAGUGGCCCCAGCUCGGCCUUGAACCAGGACUUGCUCUGCUAAUGCUUCUAUUCUGCUUCCAUCAGAAAUAAAGGGUAGCCCCUGUCUCGCA